ACCGAGCCGAGCCGAGCCGCGCCUGCGCCAAGCCGAGCCGGUCCCUGUCCUCUUCCAGCCGAGCCGCCAAGACUAAUUUGGCUCCAUCCACCUAAAUUUUGGGACGUCUUGGACCAAGUAAUUGCUGCAGCGCGGGAUUUCUUCAGUAGGGGCUCGAGCACUGCAACCUCUUUCUAGGUUAGGACCUCGUCGCUUGGAAAGCAUACCGCCUCGCGGUUAGGACUCGUCAAGUAAAUCUCCAGGUAAGAGAUUCUACUACUAGCUCCAUGUUUAGAAUUAUGAGACUAUGUAUGCUUCAAUUUUUGCAUGUUGAGGAUUAGACAGUACGA